UACGUAGGUGGCAAGCGUUGUCCGGAAUUAUUGGGCGUAAAGCGCGCGCAGGUGGUUUCUUAAGUCUGAUGUGAAAGCCCACGGCUCAACCGUGGAGGGUCAUUGGAAACUGGGAACUUGAGUGCAGGAGGAGAAGAGUGGAAUUCCACGUGUAGCGGUGAAAAUGCGUAGAUUAUCGUAAGGAAGACCAAGUGGCGAAGGCGGGUCUCUGGACAGUUCCUGACGCUGAGGCACGAAGGUCAGGGGAGCAAACGGG
rnacentral:rRNA from 1 species